ACGGAAGGCAGCAGUGAGGAAUAUUGGUCAAUGGACGGAAGUCUGAACCAGCCAAGUCGCGUGAAGGAUGAAGGUAUUAUGUAUUGUAAACUUCUUUAGCAGUGGAGUAAUAAGGUGGUCGAGACCACUGAUGCAAGUACACUGAGAAUAAGGAUCGGCUAACUCCGUGCCAGCAGCCACGGUAAUACGGAGGAUCCGAGCGUUAUCCGGAUUUGUUGGGUUUAAAGGGUGCGCAGGCGGCUUUUUAAGUCAGUGGUUAAAUCGUGACGCUCAACGUCAUCACGCCAUUGAUACUGGAGAGCUUGAUUGCGGUCGAGGUUUGCGGAAUUCGUUGUGUAGCGGUGAAAUGCAUAGAUAUGACGAAGAACACCGAUUGCGUAGGCAGCAGACCAGGCCGUAAAUGACGCUCAUGCACGAAAGUGCGGGGAUCGAACAGGAUUAGAUACCCUGGUA
rnacentral:rRNA from 1 species